rnacentral:lncRNA from 1 species
GCAUAUUGGGGAUGGUAUUUUCCAGGCAAUUCAUUUCGCUUAAAUCAAUUGAAAUGGUUUACUUGAUUAGGAGACCAAAAGCCGGUUUUCUCCCACCAAACCAGUCCAUGGAAUGGAUCUACUCGUACUACUGAGAGCCCCCUCCACACAGAGGUUUGCCCAAAUUGAUCAUGCGAAAGAAUGUUUUCGAGCUGUGUUUCUGUUCUCUACUCACAAAAUGCUCGGACUCUUGGAAGUUAGCACAUGGCUGCUAAUUAAGUAUUCGUUGCCUGAAAAAUUAACUUUCCAGCUACGAGUUUGUGAGCCUGUUGGCACUUUUGUUGUGGCAGCAGUAUCUGGC